rnacentral:rRNA from 1 species
AUUGAACGCUGGCGGCAGGCCUAACACAUGCAAGUCGAACGGUAACAGGAAGCAGCUUGCUGCUUCGCUGACGAGUGGCGGACGGGUGAGUAAUGUCUGGGAAACUGCCUGAUGGAGGGGGAUAACUACUGGAAACGGUAGCUAAUACCGCAUAACGUCGCAAGACCAAAGAGGGGGACCUUAGGGCCUCUUGCCAUCGGAUGUGCCCAGAUGGGAUUAGCUAGUAGGUGGGGUAACGGCUCACUAGGCGACGAUCCCUAGCUGGUCUGAGAGGAUGACCAGCCACACUGGAACUGAGACAUGGUCCAGACCCCUACGGGAGGCAGCAGUGGGGAAUAUUGCACAAUGGGCGCAAGCCUGAUGCAGCCAUGCCGCGUGUAUGAAGAAGGCCUUCGGGUUGUAAAGUACUUUCAGCGGGGAGGAAGGGAGUAAAGUUAAUACCUUUGCUCAUUGACGUUACCCGCAGAAGAAGCACCGGCUAACUCCGUG